rfam:Astyanax mexicanus Tnplaced_Scaffold2946, whole genome shotgun sequence.
GCUCCUGUGGUGCAAUCGGUUAGCGCGAGGUACUGAUACAGCAGUACUUGUGAAGGUAUGCAGAGGUUGUGAGUUCGAGCCUCAUCAGGAGCA